GAUGAAGAACGUAGCGAAAUGCGAUACUUGGAGUGAAUUGCAGAAUCCCGUGAACCAUCGAGUCUUUGAACGCAAGUUGCGCCUGAAGCCAUUAGGCUGAAGGCACGUCUGCCUGGGCGUCACACGUCGUUGCCCCCCCAUCUACUCCUUCGGGAUUGCGGGGGGCGGAUGAUGGCCUCCCGUGCGCCUCGCCGCGCGGUUGGCAUAAAUGCCAAGUCCUCGGCGACGCACGCCACGACAAUCGGUGGUUGCGAAACCUCGGUUGCCCGUCGUGUGCGGUCGUCGCGCAUCGAGGGCUCGAAAAAAUUGCCGGGUUCCGGCUCGGCUUUCAACGCGACCCCAGGUCAGGCGGGGUUACCCGCUGAAUUUAAGCAUAUCAAUAAGCGGAGGA
rnacentral:misc_RNA from 1 species